UGGAGCCCCAGCCUUGGCCUGAUCCCCGCCAGCAAAAGGGCUAACUUUGGUGGUGCGGGGAGAUGGGCCAGCAAAUGGUAAAGGUAGAAGAUGAGGUGAACAGCAGGGCAUGUGAAAAGACAGAAAGAUUAAUGGCAGGGACACAAUCAAAAACAAAAGUUAAAAUGGAAAUGUUAAUCAUUUAAAAGAGGGUCUCAGUGGAAUUACUUGCUUUAUGGCUCAGAAUAAAGAAUAGAAGGGGGAAAGAAGGAGGAGAAGUCCCAGGAAGAAUAAUUUAGUGCUUUGUGUAAUGAGCUGCCUUCCUUUUCAGUGGUUCACUCUGGUGUCUUAUCACUUACCCUGUGAUUGACUGAGUCUUCUUUUUGCCUGCUCCUGCUAAAUGGUGAUUUGCCAUCUGGAGGUUGAUGUCCCAAUGUUGCUCACCAGCGAGGAGCUCUCAGCUCCACAGAGGACCUAUGCUGGACUCCAGCUCUGCAUUGUAUUUCUAGCUCUAUCAGCUAUGGAGGGAGGCUUGAGCUUGCUGGAUACUGAAAACCUACUCAAAACCUGCUGAGGCUGAUCUGCUAAUGCCCAGUCGCUGCCCCAGCCCUCUUCUGCUGGUUGCUGGCUCCAUUUCUGCAUCCUGUGUACUUGCCUGGGCUGCCACGCUCUCAUUAUAUCUUUGUACAGCACCAGUCCUUUCCACUCUCAUUUCAGUUGCCUCCUCAAGGUGCUCCAAUAAUUCAAGUGAUAAAUAAUAACAAUAAUAAUGCAGAAGUCGUUUGAAUUGAGCUUGAUUGCUCCGUGGCUGAAUUUGGUCUUGAUUGACUGAAAGCAGCACAUGCCCCCCGCUUGUUAUCUUGAGAGCCUCAUUUUCUCAGUGCAUUGUUGCUCCUCAUAGCCUCAAACUGAUCUGGCCUCGAGGCCGCUGCCAAAAUGCAACCCUGUCGUUCCCAGAAAGACCCCACUCUGCAGCAUAAUGUGAAUUUACACAUAUAAUGAGGCAGAAAAUGACAGAAAAUAUCCCACUUCUGUACGGUGCCAAAGGAGCUGUGUGUUCCCCUGUUUUCUGGGCAGACUCACUGUUUCCGAGGGGGAAGAUGCUUGGUGGAGGCCUUGGGGAAAGAUUGAUUGUUGCUGGUUAAACUGACUGCACCAUACAUUUCCAAAUAUUUGAACUGGGAACUGCCUACACCACUUGUUUGUUGGGUUGAAUUGGAAAGACAGACAAGCAGCCUCUAAAUGAGGUAUAAUUUAAUGAAUACUCAUUGAACUGCUGGACAUCAGCCUCUCCUCAGCUCUGCUCCUGUGCACUUGUGAGUGUUCCUACUGUUGGUCUACACUGUGCUUCCAAGGAAGAUGCUUAUCUCAGCUAUGAGUGAGGGCAUUUGAUGGCACCUUAGAAUCAUAGAAUCAUUAAGGUUGGAAAAGACCACUAAGAUCAUCCAGUCCAACUAUCCACUCAUCACCACCAUGCCCACUAAAACCUCUUUUGAGCCCAAGGAAGAAAAGGAGCAAAUGAUCAUUGAGAGGCAGAGGCUAUGUUUCUCCUGGCUUAAUGUGGAUGAAUGAAGAAAGAGGAGGGAAAGAAAACAACUCAUUUUCACUCCUUCUCUAAGCAGCAGCCACUGUAGUGCUAUAGCCGGGAGCAUCCGAGAGAGACAGAAGGAAUUCGAGUAACAAGAAAAUUCUGCUGUACAGACCUAAUUAUAGCGAUCGCACCUGUUAGAGAAAACAAUAAGCAGCAAAAUGAAUAAACCUUCCUGGGACUCAUUUUAUCA
rnacentral:lncRNA from 1 species